CCGGCCUUCCUAUGUUCCACACCUCCACUCUAUCUCUCUCAAUCUAGUAGAAACUAGAAGAUCUAUUUCUACUUACAUUGGUUGCUAAGCCUAAAAAGAAAUAUUAUUUAGAGAAGAGGUUUUCCUUCGAGGGCACCCCUCAAUCUCUAUGAUAAUUUCUUGUCUUCUCCAGGGGCCAGGGGGUCUCCUUAUAUAGUGCUCCUCCUCUAUGCAUUUUUGGUUCAGCAGGCGAUGUGGUACUAAACUUUCCACCAUAUCUCAUUAAAAUACACAUAGGCCUUCAUGGACCAAAAUCUCAUUUGGGCCCAAUUAAUCCCGCAGCUCUUUUAUGUGGUGUGCUUCUUUUAUUAAUAUCUCUUGAUUCCGAACACCAAAUAUAGCAAAUAAUAUAUGCAUUUCGAUCAGCUCGACGAGAUCUUUGUAAUGGUGUACUCCAUUCUGUGAUUGGUGGAAACACCUGGGCGGGCGCCCAAGGGGAGAGGGCGGGCGCCCUGCCCCCGGGCCCGUUCGGCCUCCCGUUCGUUCUCGUGGUUUCUGGAGUCUUCUAGAUGAUAGAAAAUUGCGCGGCACGUUAAUAUCUCUAUGUAAACCCAACAUGUGGGCCUUUCUUUCUCAUUUCUUGAUAACCCCCUGCAGAAAUAGACAAACACCAAAACUCGUGGAAUCCUGUCAGAUAAAACCCUAAGUCUAGCUGUUGAUUUCAUUUGGAUCCUUUUCUUUGUUUAUUUUAUAAUUAAAUUUGAUACUUAAGGACCGUCAACAAACUCCCCCAAGCUUACCUCUUGCUCGUCCCUGAGCAAGGAUGAACUCAAGAGUUUCUGCAGUGGUUUCAUGCCUUAAAAGUACACACGCAUUCAAGCAAGAUCUCAUCUCUUAGUUAGAAUAAACUGUUAAGACUUAAAACUUACUCAUUUUACCUUUCACCAUGGGGCUUGUAACCUUCACUUGUGUCUUGAGCAGUUAAAAGAUAGAACAGUCUAGUCAAGUGCUAUGUCUCGUAUUCUUGAUCAGCUAUAGCUCUGGAGUUUUUGCAGAUUUUUAAAUAAAACUCAGAGAUUCCUUGUAUGACUCUCUCAGAUCUCUCUUUUGUGGUAUUUCUGGAUCCUUUCCAAGGCAGUAAUAGUAUAUGCCUUCUCUCAAAGUAUGUAGUAUUUAUGGUAUGAGGCAUAGUGAUAUUGCCUUCUCUCUCACCCCACUCUAAUAAGGUUCUGAUAUCUGGAGCUCAUAGGUGGGAGACCGCUAAUACAUACUUACAAGACAUUUAUUGCAUAGUCAAACCAUGGAUCCAGAAGAACAAGUCAAUAAGUCAAAUCAAGAUGUGCAUGUGUGGCGAGUGAAUGGUAUAUGGUGAUGAUGGUGAUAACAAUGGUGAAAGUCUAAUUCUACUUUUGCUCUUUUAAGGGGAUAGAUACCUUUCUUGCACUUUGAAGCUUUUUUGGGAGAAUGAGAUGCUCUAUAUUUUCUUUUUCUUUCCUCUUAGGUGGGUAUCUUGUACCCCUAAUUCUACUGUCGGACACUUGUCCAUUUUUACCUCUCGUCUCACUUUUUCUUUUCUUCGAGGUUCCGGGCACUUGCCCCUGUUUAUUUCCUUGUAUUAUUUUUUUUCUCUUUUUUUUAUUUUUCUUUUUUUUAGAGCACUCAUCUCCUGAAAGAAUGUAGCAAGUGGUAGUAACCAAAAUAACUGGAGCAUUUAUUUCACAGGGAAUAAUAGGGAUAGGAAAAUGUUUUUGGCUAUUCUCUCCCGGAUUAGGAGUAGAAUAAUUUUGGGUGAAUCUGGAGAUGGAAAUGAGUGGAUAUAUGUGGAUGGUACUUCCGGAGUAGAAGUAGCAUGUAUGAGUGGACAUGCAAGUGAAUCUUGAUUUUAACCACAUGACAAGCUCCUAAGGGUCUACACAGCUUGACCACACUCAAUGCUCAUAAGCAGUAAAAAGUAAAUAUGUGGCUCAAAGUCUAGCAAGCAUGUAUAUAUGGCUGUGGUAGGAAUUUAAACUCUCAUCAUAUAGGAACUCAUCAUGUGUUAUUUUCAAGAUUUUCCAAAGAUAAAAUUCUCCAGAAUUCUAGCAUCUCUAGGAAUAGAUAAACAGCAGCUCAACCUUCCCAUAUCAUAUCCGUUAACGACUUAGACUUUAGAUCAAGUACUCUUCCCACAAGUUCAGAUUUAGAGCAAAUCAUAAUUCAUAACAGUCAUGCCUAAACUUGAGAGAGAUUUCAAUUUUAAGAACUAGUCAUGGCAGAGCAACUAUUCAUCAUUUCCAUGAGAGAGCUUAUCAUGGGGGUUCAUAGCAAAUUUUAUUUAUUUAUUUGUUUAGCAAACUAAGCAAAGAUAUAUAUAAAAGCACAAAAUCUUUAUUUGGGUUUUCAUAAUUAUGCAUCUUUUAUUAUUUGAGUAAAGUAUAAACGCGAGUAGAAACACUUAGCUAGAUAAAUGGGGGUGCUCUCCCCCAAGCUGGAUUUUGACGUAAUUUCUUCUGAUGUAGCUAGCAGGUGGUAGAGGUGUAUUUGAAAGUCAGCAGCAUUCUGACAGCGAUUAGAAUGUCCUCCGUCUGCUAGUCUUCUUGAUUCUUAAAUGCUGUAGAGCUCAAAUAGACAACAAAGCUUUGUGGAACUGGUUAAGUGUUAGCAUAAAUAUCUAGCCUUUAUCAUAUUGAGCCUCCUCAAUAAAUAUUACUUAUUUAGCAGGAUUAUGCAUUUAUUAUUUUUAUAUUUUUUUAUUGUAAGAUGAAAACUUAUUUAUUUUAUUUUUAUGCCACCACAGAGAAUGUACUUAUGGGUUUUAUGCCAUGAGCAUACUCACAUGGGGCUUACUAUUGUUUUAACAUUUUUAUUUUUAUUUUUUUUUCAAGAUAGCAUGAACCUGAUUAACUAAGCAAACUAUUGAAUGGAAAAGGAUAACUACCAAGUUUACCUCUUGGCAAGGCGUUCGGUGUUUUUAAGUCCUCCGAACGGGACUCCUUGUGUUUUCAGUCGUCCUGGGAUUCGCUAGGUGGCGUAGUCGGUGAUUCCGGCGGCGCCUCUUCUUCGUGUAUAACUAUCUUCUCUCUCCACACCUGACUCGGUGCUACAGUCUCCUCAGGACAGUUCUGUUCAAGUUGUAUGUCUUCAGACCUUAUCACUUCUCCUUCGUAGUCUACCCCAUCCGUCCUUGAUGAUUUGCCUCCUCUGGUUGCGGUUGCGUUGUCUUCUUCUUGUCCUGACCUACUUAGAGUCUUCAACUAUAUAGUUAAGGUCAGUAAAAUAGCGGCAUACCUUCUUAGAGGAGAAGUGUACGUGGACUUCUCCGAUUCCAAUAUAGAUGAUGGCUUUGAUAGUGUUGUGGAACGGUCUUCCAAGGAUGGUGGGUGGAUCAUACUCGUCUUCUCCCAUGUCAAUGACCUGAAAAUCAUCUGGAGCUGAAUGUAUCUUGGUUGUAGGAGCAUGGUUCCAUGCAGAGCUGAUAAGUGACUGUGGCCAUUAUGUUAUCGUCAGAUCCGGUGUCGUAGAGUGUCUUCUGAAAAGAGUAUCCAUUGAUUGCGCACUCGAUGCUUGAAACACCAGGGUCGUCCUUCUUGAUCAGGAAAGGCGAUUUGAGUCGACGAUCUUGACCUCCUCCAACAAGGAUCCAAUGUUUUAAGUCUUCUAGACAAGACUUCUCACCGUCUUCAUCCUUUAGGUGCAUCAUUUGAUUAGGUGUGGACCUUGAUGUCUGCACCUCUUGAUACGGAGUCAUCCUUGUUCUUUGUUUGCUCAGCAGUUCAAAGUGCGGUGUUGGCAAUAUCCUGCUUAGUGUGUUUGUGCUUGUAGAUCUAGGUCCUUCACUUGGUGGAAUUUGGGAGUUGUAAAACUCCUCCAUGUUUUGUUUGAAGUGUACCUAUUCAUAGAGACAAGGCAGAGAUCAAGUGCAUGGGCCCUGUUGGUGGAAAACACCAACAGAACCAAAAGUGUAUUUGUUCUUCUCUAACCUUAAGCAUAGUGAGCAAGACAAAGUUGAUGGAUCAUGAGUGUAGCAUUUAAAACAUUUGUUAGAUCAGAUGGCUCAACCUAAUGGAAAGAUAAUCUAUCUAUAUUUAUGUUUUGUUUAUAUCUUCCAAAGAUUUAAAUGUACAACAUUUUAGCUUAUAUGAUUAGGAGUGUGGGAUCACGAAGGUAGUACUAAGAACAAAGAUUAAAGGACUAAACAUGUUGAAUUAAUUGAGUUGGUUAAUUUGGAGUUACAGAUCAGACAUGUUUGUCUCUUUAUUUAUGCGAAUGCUAGAACCAAGGAGAAACUUAUAAAAAUGAUAGUCAAGUACUUUAAGAUGUUACCUUAAUUGAAGAGUGAUGGUAUAGUAUCACCUUGUGGAAGCUUUCCUUUCUUAGCGGUUGUGCAUCGUGUUUGUGGCACCCUCCAUGAAUCAUCUCUUAUGAGCUACGUCUUUCUUGUGCAAAUUGUUAAACUUCAUGUGUCUCCUUUAUCUCCAAUGAGUUUGUAUCUCAGGACUUCCCAGGUUGAUAUUGAAAGUUUUCCUGCAGGGGUUAGUCCAACAAAAUAUCCCAAAUCUACUAUAGCAUACUAUCGGCUCAAAAAUCAACCUAGACACCAUGUCUAAUUUGAUUUAGAAGGGCAUUUUAACCUAAGCACCAUGCUUAAUUUAAAAUCCCUUGGAAGUAAGAUCAUCAUUCCUAAACUAAGCACUAUGCUUAAUUAAGAGAUAAAUGAAACUACUCCAAACCUAGACAUAUACUAAAGCAAAUAAAGGUGGCAUGAGAGCAAUUAUAGAGAUCCUACUCAAGUGGAGGUGAAGUAGUGUAAUUAGUAUUUAACAAAUUGAGCAUCUCUCAAAGGUAGGGACAACCAACAUAGCAACAUGGCGAAGGAUGUUUUUAUGUAAAGUACUCCCCCAAGCUUGAAUUUUACAAAAUUCAAGUUUGGAUGAAUUUAAUUCAAUGUUGCAUGAUGUUUGGUUGGACAUACCUUGUGCUUGUCAUUCAUCCGAUCUUCUUGCUCCUAUCCUAGAAAGGUUAGUGGCAAGAAUACCAGAAGGAAUAUUUCUACGAUUAUCUUUAUAUGCUCAAUAUACAGGGCAAUGUUGCAAAUAAUUAGAAGUUCAUGUUACGAUCUGAUCAGUGCUUGUUUUCGGACAUUAAGCUUAUCCUUGGGAAACCAUCAAGUUAUGUUGGUGAAGUGGUUUCCCCUCCAACGCUGACCUAUAUCAAGAUCAACUCAACAAGAUCUGCAAUAUUUAUUAUAGACAUAUGCAUCGACAACCGCCCUUUUAAAGUUUUUAUAAAUAGAAAGGAAGAGGGGGUUGGAGAUCUCAAAUGUGGUAAGGAUGGAGAGACUAAUUGAUUGGGGAGAUGUUUUAUAUGAGCGAGGUAAGAUAUUUAUGAAAUAACUUCCAUGCUCACUGUUGUUUCUCUUAUUCUCAAACUCCAAGGAUGAUUCUUCAUGAAUGCUUAAAAUUUCUCUAGGAUUGUCUCUCAAGUUUGUUUUAUCUAUCCAUUCAAUGGUGAUAGCACAAGGAUUUUUAAUGCCCUCUAGCCAUUGAUGUUGCUCUUCUCGAUCCUCCUUCUUAUGCAUGGGAUGUCUAGAGAGAUUCAUAGGAUUAUCGGGAGGUUCAAGAGAAAGAGCAUAGUAGAAACUAUUAAGCUUAAGGAUGGGAUGGAUAGCCGAAUCAUGGGAUUGUAAUGUUUGGAAAUUGGCUAUUGAAACUUCCUUUCCUCGUUUGGGAGAUGAUUCCUUCUCUAUCUCUAAGAUUUUUCUAUGAAGACUAGUACAAGAAGGAUCUCCAUGAAUGAAGACAUACCUUCCUUUACUAAUAGAUAAAGAAAGAAGGACUCUACCAAAGGUUAUAAGACCAAUGUGAAAAUAUCUAGGAAAAACAUGGUCUUGUAGGGCUAGGUCUAAACCAGAAUUUAUAGAAAGAUUAACAGAUUCCGUAGGUGUAGCUAAAAGUGCAUUAUCUUCUUGAUUAAAAGAUAGGACCUCGGCUAUAGAAAAGGGUUGGUUUUGACCUAUUGCAAUCAACUCCGGACACAGAUCAUAAUUAGGGGCAGGACGUGUUGACUCCCAUGGUCUAUGGCUGGUCUCCGAAGGUGCAAAGAAUUCAAUAAUAGGUAUGGAAUUUGAGUUAUCCAUAAAGAUAAAAAGAUAAAAGAAUAAAAGUAUAAAAGUAUAAUACAAGAUAAUAGCAAGAUUCAAAGUUAUCUCAGCAAACCGUCUUUCUCCCCGGCAACGGCGCCAGAAAUGCUUGUUGAUAUUUGGUAACGCAAUAAGGAAAUGAUCCGCAAGCGCACGGAUAUCGGUGAGCAUUUCACCCGGGAGGUUAUCCAGAGUUAUCAUAUUUAUAUUUUUACCACUGGGAGAAAGGGUGCAUCUGACUAACCAAAUCUAUUGCUACUACCCCUUUAGGCUACAAAGAAUGUCUCUCGAUGUGAGCGAUGUAUAGAGAAGACUGCAACCGUAGUCUCGUUCUAACCUUGGUAAGGAUGAUCUAUUGUUCUAUUGGGGAGGCUCACGGAAUCUAGACAACACAAAGGAUGUUUGACCCGCACCUAUAAACCUACCCGUCCUGCUAACGAGAUAUGAGAUACAAAGGUAACUCGGAAAUGUCACGUUCCUCGCUACUACCACGGUCCAGCUAGUCAGGGGAUAUCUAUGAGUACCCUAGCCUAAACACCACGUUUAUGCUAGCAAGUGAUUACUCUAAUACUCAACCGGAAGAGGAUUAAAGUAAACUCAUAAACCAAAGAACAAUAAAACAAGAACUUACUAGAAUUUAGAAGUCGAAUUACUGAAGAAUCUUAGAAGCAAGCCUCGGGUUAGGAGACUUGAUCCCGCAGGUACAACUCGGAGUAGACACCGACAAGCCGGCCUUCCUCUGAUCCACACCUCCACUCUAUCUCUCUCAAUCUAGUAGAAACUAGAAGAUCUAUUUCUACUUACAUUGGUUGCUAAGCCUAAAAAGAAAUAUUAUUUAGAGAAGAGGUUUUCCUUCGAGGGCACCCCUCAAUCUCUAUGAUAAUUUCUUGUCUUCUCCAGAAGCCAGGGGGGUUUCCUUAUAUAGUCCUCCUCCUCUAUGCAUUUUUGGUUCAGCAGGCGAUGUGGUACUAAACUUUCCACUAUAUCUCAUUAAAAUACACAUAGGCCUUCAUGGACCAAAAUCUGAUUUGGGCCCAAUUAAUCCCGCAGCUCUUUUAUGUGGAGUGCUUCUUUUAUUAAUAUCUCUUGAUUCCGAACUCCAAAUAUAGCAAAUAAUAUAUGCAUUUCGAUCAGCUCGACGAGAUCUUUGUAAUGGUGUACUCCAUUCUGGGAUUGGUGGAAACACCUGGGCGGGCACCGAAGGGGAGAGGGUGGGCGCCCUGCCCCCGGGCCCGUUCGGCCUCCCGUUCGUUCUCGUGGUUUCUGGAGUCUUCUAGAUGAUAGAAAAUUGCGCGGCACGUUAAUAUCUCUAUGUAAACCCGACAUGUGGGCCAUUCUUCCUUAUUUCUUGAUAACCCCCUGCAGAAAUAGACAAACACCAAAACUCGUGGAAUCCUGUCAGAUAAAACCCUAAGUCUAGGUGUUGAUUUCAUUUAGAUCCUUUUCUUUGUUUAUUUGAUAAUUAAAUUUGAUACUUAAGGACCGUCAACAAGCACUCCCCUUGAACUGAUCCCACACCGAAGUGUAGGGGUCACCCCGGGGAAACACCCAACGAAGGCGUGGGCUAGCUCCUAUCAUUCAAAACUGCAAAAGCAGCCCUGCUGGCACCCUAGAAAGGCGUGCUGCCUCGGGACUCAUACACCCAGCCACCCGAGGCGGGGUCACCGCCACUGGUAGGAAUCAUUGUCUCGAUCCCCACCAGGGUCCCGUCACCAAGCUGCUCUCAGCUCUAAUAGUAGCGAGGUUCCCUUCCUUCAGGAUACCCCAUCGAACUGAGCACCCUCCACAGCAAGGUAGGCAUCCCAAACUCUCCUAGGAACUUGCUCUUAUGACGCGAGCUCCUAGGUGCCAACUGAUGGUGAGGGGCCCGCCCACGAGUGGACUUGCGAGCGGUGAGCCUAGUGCGUGCCAUCUGCUAAAAAUAGGAUACCUUGGGUAAGACUGAGGAUUAUCUUCUAUCAUUUUAAAUAAAAUUGGGAAAGAUUUAAAUAAGGGGAGGAAUUAAGUAAUGAUAUGAAAUGAACAUGAUGCAUGCACGAAACAUACGAUCUCACAAACUUAGAAACAAAAGUCAGUACUAAUCGGUAUAUGCGGUGGCACAACACGUUCUCUCAUAACGUAACUAGCGUUCUAUGCGGGAACGUGGUUAGCGUACGUACAGAAAACUCAUUUCAGCCCAACCACAGUAUGAACAUAUAGAACAAAAAUUUAAAACUAUGCACCCCACACACACAGGUACCGCACCCAUGCAUGUGACGUGCCACUACCCACAUCAUCGCCCUAGUGACGGCAUCGCCUCUCUAGAUGGAAUCACCCCCACAUGUGGUACUGUUCCUAGGCACACUAGAUAUGCGUGCAUGACACAGCACCCUAAAGCCCUUCCCUAGAUCGACAGUGUAUCCGAUCAUGUUCUCACAGCUCUCACUUACCGAGGUGUAGGGGAAAAGUGAUCCAUACAUUACCACUCAAAUGAAUGGCACUCAUACUAUUACACGCCGUAGGAGCGACGAAAUGGAAAUAUGAUGCAUAACCCCCAAUCCAGUACUUAACUAGCCACCUUAGAGUCCUUAACUGGGCAUAAAGGAUAUGACCAUUGGCACACUGUGUAGUUUUCCAAAAACUCGUUUUAACACAUUGAUUAUCAUUAAUUGGCAAUUAACUUUUAUUAACCUGUUUAGGUUUGCUUUAGGACGUGCUUAUGAACAGUAAUCCGCUGAACCUUGCUCCGAAGCCAGCUGUAACAGAACCGCCCAAAUUAUAAGAGAUUAAGCCUGAUAGCGACCAUUUGCAUAGUCAACUUGCCAAGCUUAAGCCCAUAUAAUCCCGGUACCCCGUGAAAUCUCGAAGGAUUUCAAAUCACAUUUGUACAUACAGCCAAGAUCGUAACAAGUCCAGCCAUCACCAUCCACAAAUACAUUCAGUUCGCAACAUUCAUAGAUUACAUCGGAGUUCAAAUAUAGUUAUUACAAACCAAGUUCAAGAGUAGCGGAAGCAUUUCAGUUUUAAGAUAACACACACACUUAGUCGGAUACAGUGCCAUAGUUUGGUCAUUCCCACAAUAGCAAAAGAAGAGGUAGAGUGACCAUCACCCUUGGUCUAGUCAUCACCCAUUGCUGGGUACAAGCAGUGAAUGCAAUACCCGUAAUAUAUCUGCCCAUCUGCAAAAUCAACAUGAGAAUGGAACCCUGAGCACGAGAAUGUACUCAGCUAGACUUACCCGUCAUAAACCAAAAAUAGAAGACUCUUCAAGGAUUAUGAAGGCUGUAUAGUGGGGUAGCUGAACCCUUUUGGUGUAAAAGCAUUGAACCCUUUUAGCGUAAAAGCAUUAACCAUCUAGAAGUAUAUCUUGACAUCCCCUUUUCUUUUAUAUAGCUCAAGUUAGGUAUUAAUACCUACCAUCUAGAUUUGCACCUGUACUAUUGCAAACAAUUUGUUAGGAUAUGAUAAUAUCUUAUCAUAGCAUUCACAGUUCAUCAUUUAUCAUAACCCAAGUGUUUCAUAGUCCUUACUACGAGGACAGGGCUCAUGUCAAGUGCUCACUUUCCAGGAGCGAUGGCGAUUCGAAUCGAUUUCUAACCAGCUGGCGAGUUUAUUCCCCACACAAACCACACUCACUGAUCAAGUGAGCUACAGAUCACCAUAUUACAUUAUCUAGGACCAAUUUGCGGGUUCGACAGGCACCGCCUGUAUCCGAGGACCGUUCCGACUACUGAGGUAUCCAAGGUAUACCAAGGAUGCGCGCUGUGCCCUCGUCGUUCUCCUCAACCAGCACCAAUACAACGUGUACAUCGGGCCGAUUCCUGGCCCGGAUAGUGUUCAGGCUUCACGGUCGAAACGACUUAUCCUUCUAGCCAAGUGUGGGGCUUGCGGUCAACAUGACAAGAGGGCCGUCAACGAUCGGUUCUUAAUCGACGCAAGCAGGGGCACUACGGUCAACACCACCAUAAGACCCUGCCCGGUCUCAAAUUCAUUCCCACACUUGGUUACUUUUCACCAUAGCAUUGACAGCUUAUCAUUCAGGUAUCACCCGACUUCUACCGUGCUAAGCAAGCUAAGCAUAGACUCCGAGCCUAUCUACUUAGGACAAGGUAGAUAAACAGUGGUGAUAACAAGGAGUAAAAAUGCAUCAACGGUAUCAAGCAACUCCUAUCACUUAAUGCAACAUAGUAAAAACAACCAUGAUAUAAGUAUAUAACAAAUUAAGUUAGCGAGAAUAGGGAGACUAAGAAUGCUCUGGGGCUUGCCUCUCUUGAAGGUGCUAGGCCUAUGGUCCGGGCACUCCUGUAGAUCCCCUUCCGGCUCUAGUCCUUCUGGAAGUUCCUGCUCCUGUGUCACCUCCUUCUCCACGGGUCCCACCUCGUUCUCCUACGAGCCUGUAUGAUGCAUGUGUGCUCAUGAGUGGAGUGUAAGAUGCCUGAGGUGCAAUUCUUAUACAAAUUAGGACAACAUGAUCAUGGCAUGGUGUAUAGAUGAAACAUGAAACUAUUUCUACAAUGUAGUCAACAUCAUCCAAGAACAUGUAACCAAAGUAAAGCAUCUAUUGCAUUCUCUUCUACAAGUUAUUAUUCACCAGCAAGCUACCCUGAUGCUUCAAAGAUACACCAAACACAUUGCAUUCUAUUCAUCUCAUGCAUAACAAGGGUUUAAUUAAUUAAUUUAUUAUUAAACCUACAACAGUAGCCUAUACUUCUGUGCUUCAAUAAUUUCAACAAAAAUUACAGUAGUUACUGGUUACUUAUAAAGUUCAUCACCAAAUUUUUAUAACAUUUGGGCAGGUAACAUGGCCCACACAAAAAUCACAAAUUUAUUAGCAUAAUUAAGUGUAAAUACCCUACUGGUGAUAAAGUGUCAAACAACAGAUUUCGUAUUUUUAUAAACUGCUUCUUAACAUAAGAAAUGUCCACAAAAAUUUCCAGAUUAUGUGCAUGAUCGAAUUAUUUCUUAAAAAUCAUAAACCACUGCUAUGCAAGCAUUUAAAUCAUUAUAAAUUAAUCUAUACAGCAAAUAUUGUGCUACGUAUUUUUCACAGAGACUACACAUCCAUGCAAAGCUAACAAAACAAGAAUUACAAUUUUCUGAGUUGUAUUCUAUUUACUAUGCAUUUUCUAAAUAACAAUAAAAGCAUCAAAUAAAUAUUUUUACACAGAAAUUUGUACAAACAUAACAUGCAUAGGCACCAUAUUCUAGAUCUUGAUUAAUAGAACAUGUCAAACUUUAUUUCAACAUUUUUGGAGCUAUAGAUCUCAAGAUAUGGAUUUAAUAUGAUUUAAAUCAUUUUUGAGAAAUCAUUUUAUGAAAAUCCAUUUUAAAUCAGCCCCGAGUUCGGCUAGGUGCACCCAGUGCAGUGCACCCGCCCUCAACGCGAGCAUCCGAUAGGUGGACCACGGUCCCACGCGCCAGCCACCACAGAAGGGGGAAAGAACUCCAGCGAGCCGGAGCUCAUCGCCGGUGACCUCUUUCGGCGAACCGAGUGCUCGUACGCGUUCUACGGCUCAAGGCGAACCCGAUGAGCCCCUAUGCGCGACCUAGGACGGACCGGAGUGAGCUCGUCGCUGGCCAUGGUGGAAUGGUGGUGCUGCUCACCAUCGACCCGAGGCGCUGGCCCGGUAGAGCGCGUUUGGGAGGGUUUAGGAGCUUUCCGGUGGAGAGGCGAGCAAGAUGCGCUAGCUAGGAGGCGCAAAAAGGCAGGGUGGCGCGCUGGCCACACGCGCAGCACGGCGCUCUCGCUAGAGAAGAAGGCGAGGGCGAGCAGGGUCUCACCGUGCGUUACCAGGCGCUUGGAGGCGUGUCCCGCAAUGGAGAAGCGAGAGCGGAGAUCGGGGAAGGAGGAAUCGAAAAAAUGGCGCACGAGUUGAGGAAGAACGGUUGGAGCAGAGCUCGGGGCUCCAAUGGCGAUGGUGGUGCGAUGCGCGCGCGGAGCGGAGGCGAGAGAGCGAGAGAGAGAGCGAGGAGGCGCGCAUGGAGUGGAGGAGGGAGUGGCGAGUGCGCUGGCGCUGUCCACGGGCGGAGGGGGUAGUCGUGGCAUCGGCGGGCGCGCAUGCCGGCCACGCGGCGCCGCUGGCCUGACGCGGUCGGGCGCGCGCGACUCGGCCGUGUCUGAGCGCGGGAGGAGGGAGGGGACGCGGGCGCGGCAAGGCUGGGCCGGUUGGUUGGCGCCGGCCCGCCAGUGAACACCCCCCUCUUCCAUUUUUUUAAAUUCUUUUUCCCAAAAGCUUAAAUGCAACUUUUGAAGCCAUUGCAAAGUUUUUCAGGAGUUGAGGUAAAAAGAAGAAAUAUUCCCCACAAAAUACUUUACCACUUUGUUUUAAGGUGCAUGUCUAAAUUCCAAAUAUAAUUUGAAUCACAAAUUAAAACUAGUGUUAGGUCUUUAAAUAAAUCUAUUUUGGAAAAUUUGUAUAAAAUAUAUUUCUCAAAUCCUAGAGAUCCAAAAAUGUCACACAAUUAUUCUUAAUUCUUCUAAAGCAUAAUUCAAUUUAUUUUGGUCACCACAAGCAUUUUUGAAGUAAGCAUACUAAUUUAUUAUACUUAAAUUCAUUUAAAUCAAGCACAUAAAAUCACACUUAAAAUGUUACUUAUGCUCAUGUGAUGCUAUGCUUAUGCUUGACAAGAGUGCUUAUGAGUAGUGUAUGAGACUAAAUGCAUGCUUAACACCUAGGGUGCUACAGACUCGUCCCUCUGAAGUCAUUGGAUCAGAUCUAAUCGGUGCAGAUUGCUCAUUAGCUAAACCCAAUGUGCUUGGAGGGGAAGUAACCUCUGUACUCGCAACGGCUGAAGGAGCCGAUGGAGCCGUGACUGUUGACAAUCCUGGCUGAUGAUAAGCCGGGCCAACAUAGAGUGGUGGUGACUGUCCUUCUUUAAAAGUUUGGACCACAGCAUUAUAAACAGUAUUGGAUAGCACAUUGGAGUGAUUGAUCAAAGCACGAUUAAUAUCAUUAUUAACCUUGUCUUGCAAUUUACGAGGAUUGGAAUCAAAGGUAACCUGCAUCGGCAGAUCUUGCUUCUGGAUAACUUCCCCGCUCCUGUUCAUGCUGAAGGAUUUUAGACAAAGUUGUUUGUAUUCCUCCAUAGCCCUCUCCAUAGCUUGCUUCUAUUCUCCGUGUCGAGCUUAGAAGUAGCCAUGCCGAUCUUGUUGAUAAUAUUUGUCCCACUGAGCGUGCCAAAUGAUGUGUUGAUGCAAAAUAGAUCUGUAAACACAAAGGGCUAAUACCCAAUUCUAAUGUUGAGGCGUGCCAGUCGAUUUGACCUCACAAUCGACAAAGGUGAUAACUUGAAUACUUUGGUCCUGACAACAGCGAUGCGCCCAGAUGUCAUGGCCAAGAGGUACUCACGCGGAACUCGAGAAUUCGUCGAGUAUUGCUCGUUGAAUCCCUAAAAACUCGUAGACAAAAGAAAGUGUGCGAGUUGACGAAGUUGUCAAAAAAGUAGAUGUAAAAAAAGAUGUAAAACUUGUGUAUGAUAUUGAUUGAUUGUCCUUCUUACAUUGCUGCUAGGUCUACAUUUAUACCCUGACCUAAAGAGUUACAAUCGUAUAUGACUAGGAUUUAAUUCUAAACAAAACAAGACACUUACAAAAGGCAUACUUUAAUAAAUAUGGAAAACAACCACCUAUCUACUCCGGUGUAUGCUUCAUCGGCAUAUCCUUGUUGCCUCCUUAGCAACUUCAACGCCUCCCUUCAUCGGCACCGGCCUACUCGCUAUAGCCUCCUCAACAACUUCCACACCUUUCUUCAUCGGUAUCAGCGAUCAUCGGCAUUGGCGAUCAAUCGGCAAUGAUCAGUAACCACCAUCUUGACCCUUAGGCCAGCAACAUCCUCCACCUAUCAUCCUGUCAUCGGCAUCAUCGGCUAUCGGCAAUCUUCUUAUCACCUUGAUACAACAUUUUCCUAACUGCCGAUCAGUUCUUCCUAACCAUCUUGACUUGUGCCUAAAAACAGUGUCAACACCAAUAUUAUUGCUCAGUAUGGUGCCUUCGUUGAUGAUGCAGUGGGGGCAGAUGAUGAAGAGGAUGCGGCAGCAGCAGAAGAUGUGGCAGUUCAUGCUAAUGCUCUUAGUGAUGCCAUUUGCGAUGCACAAAGAGAUUGUGAAUGUGAGAAGGAGAAGGCCAAGUUCGAGCGUGUGCUAGAGGAUCACAAGAAAUUGCUAUAUCCGACCGCUAAAGAUGGGCAAAAAAAGCUACGUACAACACUUGAACUACUUCGAUGAAAGGCAAAGAAUGCUACAUCCGACAAGUCAUUUGGGCAGUUAUUGAAGAUCAUGAAAAAGAUGCUUCCGAGGGCAAACGAAUUGCCCACCACUACGUACGAAGAAAAGACAGUUGUCUGCCCUUUGGGAUUAGAAAUCUAGAAGAUACACGCAUGUCCUAAUGACUACAUCUUGUACCAUGGUGAGGAAUACGAGAAUUUGGAUGCAUGCUAUUGACGGUCCUUAAGUACCAAAUACAAUCAUCAAAUAAAUAAAGAAAAGGAUCCAAAUGCAACCAACACCCAGACUUAGGGUUUUAUCUGAUAGAAUUCCACGAGUUUUGGUGUUUAUCUAUUUCUGCAGGGGGUUAUGAGGAAAUAUGGAGGAAAGGCCCACAUGUCGGGUUUACAUAGAGAUAUUAACGUGUCCCGCCCUCUCCCGUUGGGCGCCCGCCCAGGUGUCUCAGCCAAUCAGGCUGAGUCUCAUGGAUCAUGCUCCACCGACCUAAAGGAUUAAGGAAAACCGUGCGAUUAAGGUCGGUUUGAUCCGACGGCCCAUAUUCAUUUGGAGGGGCUAUAUAAGCAGGCCCCAUGGCCCCUAGAGGAGGGCAAUCCCAUUAUUCAUUAGCAUAUUUUCUAGAGAGGAUUCAGAGAGAGAUGUCCCUCUAGGGUUCCAACCUCAUAGGGCUUAGCAUCCAAUGUGAGAUUAGAAUUAGUUCUUCUAGAUUGAGAGAGAUAGAGUGGAGGUGUAGAUCGGAGGAAGCCCGACCUGUCAGUGUCUACUCCGAGGUUGUACCUUAAGGUAACACCUUAAGGUACUUGAAUAUCACUUUUAUAAGCUUCUCCUUGGUUCUCGCAUACACAUAAAUAAAAGAGACAAACAUGUAUGAUUUGUAGCUCCAAAUUAACCAACCCAAUUAAUUCAACAUGUUUAGUCCUUUAAUAUUUGUUCUUAGUACUACCUUCGUGAUCCCACACUCCUAAUCAUAUAAGCUAAAAUGUUGCACAUUCAAUCUUUGGAAGAUAUAAAAAAACAUAAAUAUAGAUAGAUUAUCUUUCUAUUAGGUCGAGCGAUCUCAUCUAACAAAUGUUUUAAAUGCUACACUCAUGAUCUUAUUAUCCAUCAACUUUGUCUUGCUCACUAUGCUUAAGGUUAGAGAAGAAAAAAUACACUUUUGGUUCUAUUGGUGUUUUUCACCAACAGGGCCCAUGCACUUGAUCUCUGCCUUGUCUCUAUGAGCAGGUACACUUCGACCAAAACUUGAAGGAGUUUUACAACUCCCAGAUUCCACCAAGUGAAAGACAUGGAUCUACGAGCGCAAACACACUGAGCAGGAUAAUGCCAAUGCCGCACCUCGAACUGCUGGACAAACGAAGAACAUGGGUCACACCGUAUCAAGAGGUGCAGAUGUCAAGGCCUACACCUAAUCAAAUGAUGCACCUAAAGGAUGAACACGGUGAGAAGUCUUAAAACAUUGGAUCCUUGCUGGAAGGUAAAAUCAGUAUUUAUCCAUAUUUAUCUUUUCUGCAUUCCUUUUCCUUUUUAUUCCAUCACUUGCAUUAGCAUAUUUACUUUUCCACAUUAGCAUUAGAAAAGAAAACAAAAAUAUUUGUUCGUUGCACUGCAUCAUAAAAUCUAAAGCCCCAUGUGAGUAGACUUGUGGUUUAAAACCCAUAGGUAUAUUGACUGUGGUGGCAUAAAAUAAAUAUGUUUUCAUCUUACAAUAAAAAUAUAAAAAUAAUAAAUGCAUGAUCCUGCUAAAUAAAUAAAAUUUAUUAGGAGGAAUCUCAAUGUGAUAAAGGCUAACACUUAACCAGUUCCACAAAGCUUUGUUGUCUAUUUGAGCUCUACAGAAUUCAAGGAUCAAAGAAGACUAGCCGGUGGAGGACAUAGUAAUCGCUGUCAGGGUGCUGCCGACAUUCAAAUACACCUCCGUCACCUGCUAGCUACGUCAGAAGAAAUUACGUCAAAAUCCAGCUUGGGGGAGAGCACCCCCAUUUAUCCAGUUAAGUGUUUCAACUCGCGUUUAUACUUUACUCAAAUAAUAAAAAGAUGCAUAAUCACGAAAACCCAAAUAAAAAUUUUGUGCUUAUAUAUAUCUUUGCUUAGUUUGCUAAAUAAAUAAAUAAAGUGUCUAGGCCAAACUGAACUUAAAUGAUAAACUCUUACAUGGAUAUGAUAAAAGUUCCUCUGCCAUGUACCUAGUUUUCAUGUUUGAGCUCUCUCUCAAGUUUAGAAAUAACUGUUAAAAUUUAAACCUGCUCUAAAGCUAAACUUGUGGGAAGAGUACUUGAUCUAAAGUCUAAGUCGUUAACGGAUACGAUAUGGAAAUGUUGAGCUGUUGUUUAUCUGUUCCUAGAGUUGCUAGAAUUCUAGAGAAUAUUAUCUUUGAAAAUCUUUAAAAUAUUGCAUGAUGAGUUCCUGUAUGAUAAGAGUUUAAAUUCCUACCACAACCAUACAUCCAUGCUUAUUAGACUAAGAACCAUACAUUUACUUUUCACUACUUAUGAGCAUUGAGUGUGGUCAAGCUGUGUAGACCCUUAGGAGCUUGUCAUGCGGUUAAAAUCAAGAUCCACUUGCACGUUCACUCACACAUGCUACUUCUACACCGGAAGUACGCAUCCACAUACAUCCACUCAAUUCCAUCUCCAGAUUCACCUAAAAUUAUUCUACUCCUAUCCGGGAGAGAAUAGCCAAAAACUUUUCCUAUCCAUGUUAUUCCCUGUGAAAUAAUGCUCGAGAUAUUUUGGUUACUACCACUUGCUAUAUUAUUCUAGGAGGAUGAGUGCUCUGAAAAAAAGGAAAAAUAUGAGGAAAUAAAAAGGGGCAAGUGCCCGGAACCUUGAAGAAAAGAAAAAGUGAGACGAGAGGUAAAAAUGGACAAGUGUCCGACAGUAGAAUUAGGGGUACAAGAUACCCACCUGAGAGAAAAGAAAAAAAUAUAUAGAGCAUCUCAUUCUCCUCAAAAAAGCUUCAAAGUGCAAGAAAGGUAUGUAUCCUCUGAAAAGAGCAAAAGUAGAAUUAGACUUUCACCAUUGUUAUCACCAUCAUCACCAUACACCAUUCACUCGCCACACAUGCACAUCUUGAUUUGACUUAUUGACUUGUUCUUCUGGAUCCAUGGUUUGACUAUGCAAUAAAUGUCUUGUAAGUAUGUAUUAUCUGUCUCCCACCUAUGAGCUCCAGAUAUCAAAACCUUAUUAGAGUAGGGUGAGAGAGAAGGCAAUAUCACUAUGCCUCAUACCAAAAAUACCACAUACUUUGACAGAAGGCAUAUACCAUUACUGCCUUAGAAAUGAUCCAGAAAUACCACAAAAGAGAGAUUUGAGAGAGUCAUACAAGGAAUCUCUGAGUUUUAUUUGAAAAUCUGCAAAAACUCCAGAGCUAUAGUUGAUCAAAGAACAAGAGACAUGGCGCUUGACUAGACUGUUCUAUCUUUUAACUACUCAAGACACAAGUGACGGUUGCAAGCCCCAUGGUGAAAGGUAAAAUGAGUAAGUUUUAAGUCUUAACAGUUUACUCUAACUCAGAGAUGAGAUCUUGCUUGAACGCAUGUGUAUUUUUAAGGCAUGAAACCACUGCAGAAACACUUGAGUCCAUCCUUGCUCAGGGACGAGCAAGAGGUAAGCUUGGGGGAGUUUGUUGACGGUCCUUAAGUACCAAAUAUAAUCAUCAAAUAAAUAAAGAAAAGGAUCCAAAUGCAACCAACACCCAGACUUAGGGUUUUAUCUGACAAAAUUCUACGAGUUUUGGUGUUUGUCUAUUUCUGUAGGGGGUUAUUAGGAAAUAUGGAGGAAAGGCCCACAUGUCGGGUUUACAUAGAGAUAUUAACGUGACGCACAAUUUUCUAUCAUCUACAACACUCUAGAAGCCACAGGAACAAACGGGAGGCCAAGUGGGACCCAGGGCAGGGCGCCCGCCCUCCACCCUUGGGUGCCCGCCCAGGUGUCUGAGCCAAUCAGGCUGAGUCUCGUGGAUCAUGCUCCACCGACCUAAAGGAUUAAGGAAAACUGUGCGAUUAAGGUCGGUUUGAUCCGACGGCCCAUAUUCAUUUGGAGGGGCUAUAUAAGCAGGCGCCCUGGCCCCUGGAGGAGGGCAAUUCCAUUAUUCAUUAGCAUAUUUUCCAAAGAGGAUUCAGAGAGAGAGGUCUCUCUAGGGUUCCAACCUCAUAGGGCUUAGCAUCCAAUGUGAGAUUAGAAUUAGUUCUUCAAGAUUGAGAGAGAUAGAGUGGAGUUGUAGAUUGGAGGAAGCCCGGCCUAUCGGUGUCUACUCCGAGGUUGUACCUGCGGGAUCAAGUCUGCUAACCUGAGGCUUGCUCCUAGGAUUCUUCAGUAUUUCGACUUCUAAAUUCUAGUAAGUUCUUUGUUCUUCUUGUUCUUUGGUUUAUGAGUUUACUUUAAUCUCUUCCAGUUGAGUUUGGAGUAAUCAUUGCUAGCGUAAACGUGGUGUUUGGGUUAGGGUACUCAUAGAUAUCCCCAGUCUAGCCAGACCGUGGUAGUAACGAGGAACGUGACAUUUCCAUAGCUACCUUUGUAGCCCACAAUCCCGUUAGUAUGAUCGGUAGGGUUUAUAGGUGCGGGUCGAACAUCCUUUGUGGUGUCUAGAUUCCGUAAGCCUCCCCAAUAGAACAGUAGAUCAUCCUUGCCAAGGUUAGAAUAAGAGUGCGGUUGUAGUCUUCUCUAUACAUCACUCACAUCAAAUCACAUUGUUUGUAGCCUAAAGGGUAGUAGCAAUAGAUUUGGUUAGUCAGAUGCACGCUUUCUCCUAGUGGUAAAAAUAUAAAUACGAUACUCUAGAUAACCUCCUGGGUGAAGUGCUCACCGAUAUCCAUGCGCUUGCGGAUCAUUUCCUAAUGGCGUUAACAAAUAUCAACACAUGCUCGGUAUGCAAAGCAUCGCGGUAUAAGAUCAAGCGAGAUGAUCCUGGUGAUGUAGAGGGUGAAGAACGUCCCAGCCGGAAGAAAAUCCCUGCCAAGGUUAUGUGGUAUGCUCCUAUAAUACCACGCUUGAAACGUUUGUUUAGAAAUAAAGACAAUGCAAAGUUGUUGCGGUGGCAUAAAGAAGACCAUAAGGUAGACAAUAUGCUCAGGCAUCCAGCUAAUGGAUCACAGUGGAGAGCGAUAGACAGAGAAUUCCAAGAGUUUGCACAUGAGGCUAGAAACUUGAUGUUCGCUUUAAGUAUGGAUGGUUUAAUCCUUUCGGGGAGCAGAGCAGCAGUCAUAGCACUUGGCCAGUCACUCUCUACAUCUACAACCUUCCUCCAUGGUUAUGCAUGAAGCAGAAGUUCAUUAUGAUGCCUGUGCCCAUCCAAGGGCCGAAGCAACCUAGCAACGACAUCGAUGUGUACCUGAGGCCAUUAGUUGAGGAACUUCUUCUUCUAUGGAGCAAGCCAGGUGUACGCGUGUGGGACAAGUACAAACAGGAACACUUUGACCUACGAGCAUUGUUGUUCAUCAUAAUUAAUGACUGGCCUGCUCUAAGUAAUCUUUUAGGCUAGACAAACAAGAGAUACAAUGCAUGGACACACUGUUUCGAAGACCUUGAUAGUAUAUUUUUGAAAAAAUGUCGAAAGAUCAUGUACAUUGGCCACCGUCGGUUUCUUCCUCUGGGCUACCUAGUAAGAAAGAAACACAAACAUUUUAAAGGCAUGGCAGACCAUCGGACUAAGCCUCGUAACCGAACUAGGGAUGAUAUACUCGAAAUGGUGAAGGAUAUGAAAGUAGUUGUCGGUGUUUUCCCCACGGGAGGUCACACCAACGAGUGAAUUUGUAUGCGUGCUUCCCUUUCCCAGAUGGUGAUGCAAAAAGGCACAAGGAUUUAUCCUAGUUCGGGCAAGAGAAGGCCCUACGUCCAGCGGGGGGAGAUAGUUUGUAUUAUUUUGCACCUAAGUGCUUGUACAGGGGCGAAUACAAGCGUGGUAUGGAGUAUGGGAGUUCUACUGCGUAUGAGCGUGGUGUUGCCUUGUUCCUCAUGUCCUGUGUUCACUCCCAGGUCUCCCCUUUUAUAGUUCCAAGGAGAGACCUAGGGUACAUAUAUAGGUGACAGACUAGGGGUCAAUAGAGGCCUGGCGCGCUGACCUACUCGAGGCUUCCGUACUGGCGUGGUCUCGAGCCGUCCCAUCCUGGUAGCUUGAUGAUGAUUACGUGUGCCCUUAUAUCCCACUCUGUAUGCCGUCUUGGACUGGUUUGUCCGUUGCACGCCUAUACGUCACGGCAGCUGAUACGUCGGAGUGGUGGCAGUGCCGUCAGUCGAUGCCCAACCCUUCCCCAGGAAGGAAGCAUGUCUGGUCGAGGGUCGGACGCCAGGUAGCGCCUUGCUAUCCAGAGUAUUGACUUUUGGAGUCUCGAGGGGGUCCUGACUAGACGUUCCAUCCCUGCUUCCUGCGUCCUGACAGGCUCUGGGUCGUUUGGAGGGGAAGGCUGCAAAAAGAAUGACGAGACGGAUGCCUGUUCCCCAUCACGCUUCCCGUGACUGGCGUGUUAGGUGGGAAUGCGACAGGCGCAUUAAAUGCUCUGGCUCCCGUGCGCGUGUCAGGCGGCGGGCGGCGUCCUGGCGCUCGACGCCCGCCGAUUCGCUCGAGCCUGUUUCCGUAUUCGACGGUAGUUGGCGCUCGAGCCCUGCUUGAUUCGCUCGACGCCCUUUCCGUCUUCAAGGCUGAGGUCGUCGAUGACUAUAUGCGUGAUUGUGUAGAGCGUCGAGUUGGGGAUCUCGACUUUCGUACGGACGAUCUCGUUAUGUACAUCAGUUGGGAUACCCGUUAGGCGGCGCAUUUAUGGGGGGUGUUACCUCUUUUAUCGGGUCUGUCUGUUGGUGGACCGCGGCCUAUAAUUAUCCCAUUGCAUCGCCGGCGUUCUUCCUUCCACCUUCCACCCUGUUGUCUUUUGCUUUCUUGCUGUCUAAGUUCUCUUGCCAUCUUACGCGCGCGCACCCCCUCAAGCAGUAGCGAAUCCGCCAUCCUUCCGGCCAAGAUGCCUGUGAGACUCGUCGCCGCCGACGACUGGCGCCCGUCGUCGAUGACGGAGCACCGGUUGCUGGAGCUUGAGAGGGAGGGACUCCUGCGCCACCGCACCUCCCUGUCGUCGCCGGAGUGGAUCGCGCUGCAAGCGGACCACAGGGAUACCAGGCCGCCCAAGGGCUACGUAGUGUCGUUUGCCAAGUUCCACUGCCACGGCCUGGGCGCUCCUCCGAGCCGCUUCAUGCGGGCGAUCUGCCUCCAUUACGGGGUGGAGCUCCAGCACUUCUCCCCAAACGCUAUCACCGUCGCGGCGGUCUUCGCUGUGGUGUGUGAGGGCUACUUGGGGAUGAUGCCCCACUGGGAGCUGUGGCUCCACCUCUAUAGGGGCGAGCUCUUCAAUGCCCCCACCGAGACCACCGGCGUGAGGAAGCCUGUGCAGGCAGGAUGCCUCAACCUCGUGCUGAAGACGGGGAAGACGGAGAGGCCGCGCGAGUACAUCCCGGUGGGAUUGUCGACGAACCACGCCGGAUGGGACUCCUAGUGGUCCUACUUGAGGAACGACGACAAUCUCCUACCCACCUACACCGGGCGUCUCAUCACGGAGCGUCCAGAGAACUGGACGUACGGCGUCAUUCAAGCUCAUCAGUCUCGGCUCGACCCCCUCCUCGACGCCAUGAAGAAGCUGUGCUUGGAAGGCUUGAUCGCCGCUCUCGUCCUCUCGGCCGUCCAUCACCGGAGAGUUCUCCCAUUGAUGUCUCGGCCGCUGAGGAUGGACGGGAUGGGCCCUAGCGUUUUGUCUCAGGACCUUGAGGCAUGCCGGAUGUCCAACGAGGCUCCGGCGGAUGACGAAGUCGCGGCCCGGGUCAGGGCCGCCAUUGCCGGUGAUUUUAAGCCGGAGCACCUUAACGGCUUCCCCAUGAGGCCUGAUGCGGGCUCGAUCGAUCUGGUAUGCUCUCUUCUCGUGCACAGCUUCGAUUCUAGAUUUCUUUCUACCCCUUUUCUGAGCCUACCUUUGUUCUGGCUGGGACGGAUUGAUGUCCGGUCCUCGAGGCCUCCAGUAAAGGAGGACGAGGUCGACUGUGACGCACGGCGCCGGUCCGCCGAGAAGCAAAAGUCCGUCAAGGACUCUGUGAAGAAGGGGGAGAAGAAAAAGAACCUCGACCGUCAAGCGUUAGAGGCGCGUCGAGCCAAGUCCAGGCAGAGGGGGGAGCCUGAAGAAGAAUCCCCUAGUGAAGAUGAUGGCGGGGACGGUGAUGACGACAGCAACGAUUCCGAGGGUAUGGCGUCUCGCCUCGACCGGAUCCUCAAGGAUCCGUCUCGAGGCGACGUCGACGCCCCGCGGAUGGGAGCGCCAAAGGAGGGGCCAGGCGGAUCUCACUGCCCCCACGCUUACACCCCUCCUGCGCCCGCGACCAGUCAGGCCGCCCCGCGCCCCCAACCUCCCCCUGCACCAAAGGCGGGUGGCCAAGCUAAGCCCCAGGUGACGGGGCCGCUGACCCACGGUCGCGCCGCGGCCUCCGAGAAGGGAGAGACCGGCCGCAGGAGCGCCAGUCUCGGCGCCCGCCAGGCGGGAGUUACUGGGCCAAGGCCAGCGCCUGCCCUCGAGGGGUCCGGGGCCUUAACGCGGGGUGGUUCGAGGCCCACCGGUCGAGGUACCGGUAGGCGUGCCGUUCUCCCUGUGGGGUAAGUCCUUCGACGCUGUGGUUCUUAUUUUCCUAAUUCUUCAUGUUUUCUCGUAUAACGGUCUUCUUUAUGCCUGUCCCUCUUUCCUCAGGUUAAAGCGGACGCUUGAGCAGGCCCAGCCUUCGAUGGCAAAACAGCUCAAGGUGGGAGCGGCCUCCAAGGACAUAGGUUAGCAGCUUAUUCAUGGGAUUUGUGUCAUCCUUACGUUGGUCAUUAUAGCGGCUGACCUUUGUUUUUUGUUUUACAGGUUCCUCCGACCCUCAGCUGCCGACUGGCACCGAGAGCGCCCCACCUCGUCCCCCGACGGGUGAUCCUGCCCCGUUGUCGCCAAAACAAACCGAGGCACCCCGGCCCCGAGGGCAGGAAGGAGCCCCCGAGCCUCCCCGAUCGGGGGUCGAGGGGGAUCCCAUUACCAUUAGUGAUGGUUCUGGCGGCAACGGGACCUCGAGGGACGCCCAUCCUAUGGACGAGGAGGCCCAGACUUCUCUCGUCGUGGGACGGAUGCCCUGGCCUACCGGGCUUCGCUCCAUCGAGGAGCAGAAGAAGAAAGAAGAGGAGGAGCACGAGCAGGAGACGCGGCGGCAGCUGCAGGAGCAGGACCGCUGAUAAGAGCCGCAGGAGCUCGAGGAGCAACAGCAGCAGCAGCAUGGGGGCCAAGAAGAAAGACCGCUCGAGCCCCCGCCUCACAGUCCGCCCCAACCAGUACCACCGACGCCGCAAGAGCCCGGAGACCAGGAAGAGGGUUUGCCAGUUUUCGGCCCUCCAACCCCGGCGUGGCUCCGUCUAGGGGCACCCGCCGCGAUCUCGGCAGAGUCGGGGCGGGCAGACGGUGUGGUGGCGCUUGCCUGCAUGAUGCGCACCCCCGUCGACCCCGAGUCCGAGAUCAGGAGGACGAUCUACGGCAUGGACCGAAUUGCCCCAGGGUUCCUCCGGGAGCGUCGGGCGUGGGAGGUCCGCAUUCCCGCCGAGGAGGAUGAGGGUGGGACGUCGGGUAGUAAAGAUGGCACCUAGAAGACGGUGGAUGACGACGGGCGGUUCCCCUCCCUCGUCGACUUGUUCCUGCGCCAUGGGGGGUCCCUCGAGACCGUCGAGGACCUCAUUCGCGGCGUCAAGGCUUCCACUGAUCCGUCUGAGCCCAACAUCUUCCUGGACGAUCGGAAGGAGGCUGAGAAGUGGGAGCACGUUGAGGUGCUCCGCCUCUGGAUGAAGCACAUGGUGGGGCUCCUGUCAGACGUUGUAAACAACAGGCUGAGGCCAGCCUACAUUGUAAGUCUCCUAGCCUUUUAAUCUUUAGGGCGUUUGUUGGUUUUGGGUUCUAACUGCUCGAUCACCGGUUCACAGGAUUUGAAAGAGACCUCCCGUAUUAAGUCAAGCUUCAUUCACGCCACGAGGGGCGGCUGGGAGCAGCUCCCCCUCCUCAAAGACCAACUCCUGGAGUCGCAGGAGAAACGCCUCCAAGCCUAUAAAGAUCUCUUGGCGCUCGAGGAGGAGAAGAAGGAGAGGGAGGCUGCCCUGGCCGAGGCUCGAGAGGCCUCGAAGAAGGCUGUGGAAGAUGCCGUGCUGCUGAGGGAGCGGGCUCUGACGGUCGAGGAGGCUGCGUCCAAAGCCCGGGAGAAGGCCCUGUCCUACAAGAACGUCGUUGCUGAUCUGGACAAGGAGAAGGGCCUCCUCAAGACUGACUUGGACUCCCUUCGAGAAUCCUUCCAAAGGAUGAAGGUGGAGCAUGUGAAUGGCGAGAUCGCCAGGGGCGCCACGGAGGAAGCCAAGAAGAAGGCCCUCGAAGACCUCGAGGCGGAGCGGACUUGAUCUAGCAGGCUCUCUAACGACGUCGAACGUCUGAAGGGAUAGCUGUUGGAGAAGAGUGGAGCCAUUGCUCAGGCUGGCAAGGCGAUCGAGGAUCUUUGUGUUGCCAACACUGAGUUGGCGCGCUCCAACAAAGAGAUCGAGAGGGCCAACACCAAAUUAGUUGGCGAGAACACGGCCUUGGAGGAGAGUGUCCGUGGUACGUUUCUAUUGUCAGAUUUCUUUUCGAGGUGUGCUCGGUUUUAUCUAAAUUUUUUUGCGUUGGCAUUCACAGGGCUUAAAGACGAGCUCUUGGCCGCCCAAGUCGAGGCUCACAAUGCCCAGGCCCAGCUCGAGGGGGAGGUUGCUUUGAACCGUCAACUGCGGAUGGCGAUAAGCGAUCUCUCGACCUCUUGGGAAGUUGAGCCCUUGGACGAGUCGAAGGAGGAGGCUCGAGGCGACGCGCUGGUCGAUCAGCUGUGCUACUUAGGCGCGACGCUGAGAGAUCGGGUGCGUGACGCUCUCCAUAUCGGGGUAAAGCGGGCAAUGGCGGUUGUCUGCUCGGGCUUUUCCUACGAUAUGGAGGUGGUAUCUCAUGGCUUUGUUACCGAUAUCUCCAAGACUGACGCGGAGAACGAGGAGAGGCUUCAUGCCUUGAUCGACGACGUGGAGGUUCCUGGAGAUAGGCUGGCCAAGCUAUUUGAGCCCGAGGUGCUUCCCCCUGAGACUAGCUCAGGCGUAGGCGAGGGUGGUGAGGACCAUGCUGUGGACUAAGGCCUGCGAGCCUGCUCUAGGUGCCUGGGGCCCCUUGUAUAGUACUGUGUUAACUUGUCUUUAAGUAAUACAAUGUCUUUAAGUGGUUUGUUAAAUGUUUGUCUGUCUUUCCUCUCGAAGCUCCUUUAUUCCUUUUUGCGCCUAUGUUUGUUUUUCUCACUUGGUCUUUUGUUCGAGGCGGUCUCGAUUACCUCAAGGGUGAGGAGACGAGUAGAGUUUCCAUAGCCCGGGGGCGUAGGAGUUCUCAGGCUCGUUGUUUUUCGGUCCUUAAGGGGCUCGAGGUACCUUUACUACUCAACUGUAUGAGAUUGCCGAUAGAAACAAAAGGAUUACUUGGUUUUUUCGACACUUGGGGGGGUCACCCCCCUUGCUAGCCCCCGAGGGGGUGUCGACUAUGAUGGGUCAUAGUCGAUACUCCCUUCUAACGUUGAGACUUUUGAAAACGUAAGUCGCUCGAGGAAAAAACUUUAUUUAUUCAUUUAUUCAUUUACAAGGCCUUGGUACAGAAUGUACGCAGGAACAUAAAGCUUUGAAAUUCUAGGGGUAGAAUCGACAUAGCUGUUCGAUGUUCCACGCGUUGGUGAAGAUCGCCCCCUUUUCGUCCGCUAGCUUGUAUGUCCCUGGCUUCAAGACCUCGGCCACCACGUAUGGGCUCUCCCAAGGUGGAGUCAACUUGUGGCGUCCUUGAUUGCUUUGCCGUCGUCGUAGGACAAGGUCGCCCACGUUUAAGUCCCUCUUGCGCACGUGUUUGUCGUGGUAGCGUCGAAGUUUCUGCUGGUAUCUGGCAGAGUUGAGGAGGGCCAUGUCUCGAGCCUCCUCGAGUUGGUCGACCGCGUUUUCUCGAGUCUCCUUAUUUGAUUGUUCGUUGUAUGCUUUAAGCCGAGGGGAUCCAUACUCGAGGUCCGUUGGGAUCACAGCCUCAGAGCCAUAGACCAUGAAGAAUGGGGUGUAUUUUGUGGCCCUGCUUGUCGUUGUCCUUCGGCUCCAUAGGACUGAGGAAAGUUCCUCGACCCAUUUCUUGCCGAAUUUCUUCAAGCGAUUGUAGAUCCUUGGUUUGAGCCCUUGCAAAAUCAUGCCGUUGGCACGCUCGACCUGGCCGUUAGUUCGAGGGUGGGCCACUGCAGACCAGUUCACCCGAAUGUGAUGGUGAUCGCAGAAGUCCAAGAACUUUUUGCCGGUGAACUGAGUGCCGUUGUCAGUGAUGAUGACGUUGGGAAUCCCAAACCGGUGGAUGAUGUCGGUGAAGAAAAGGACAGCCUGCUCGGAGCGGAUGUUGGUAAUGGGUCGAGCCUCGAGCCAUUUGGAGAAUUUGUCGAUGGCCACCAACAAGUGGGUAUACCCCCCUUUUGCCUUUUGUAGAGGCCCUACUAAGUCUAGCCCCCACACCGCAAACGGCCAUGUGAUGGGGAUCAUCUGAAGAGCAUGGGUGGGCAGAUGUGUCUGUUUGGAGUAGAACUGACACCCAUGGCAUGAGCGCACGAGCUCGAUGGCAUCAGCUACGGCCGUUGGCCAGUAGAAGCCUUGUCGGAAGGCGUUCCCUACGAGGGUCCGUGGAGCAGCAUGGUGGCCACAAGCCCCCGAUUGUAGGUCCUCGAGGAGUUUCCGGCCUUCUUCCACGGUGAUGCAACGUUGCAAGACCCCCGUCGGGCUUCGUCGAUGUAGCUCAUUGUCCUCGCCGUAGAUUACAUAUGUCUUGGCUCAUCGAGCGAUACGGUGGGCCUCGGAUCGAUCUUCUGGCAACUCGCAGCGGAUUAGGCAGUCGAGGAACGGCGUGCGCCAGUCAAACGGUCGACCGGGCUGCUGUUCCACCUCCAUUACUUCAGCCGCCAUUAGUAGCGCUUCGACGUUGUCGGCCUGCUGGGCUGGAGCAGCUUCGACACCAGCCCCCGAGCCCAAGUCGACGGAUGGCUCAUGUAGAUCUCUUGAGAACGCGUCGUGCGGGAUCCUGCCUCGAGUCGACGCGAUCUUGGCGAGUUCGUCGGCUGCCUCGUUGUAGCGUCGGGCGACAUGGAUGAGCUCGAGGCCGUGGAACUUGUCCUCGAGUCGACGGACCUCCUUGCAGUACGCCUCCAUUUUCAGGUCGUGGCAGUUCGAGGCUUUCAUUACUUGGUCGAUGACGAGCUAGGAGUCGCCUCGAACGUCGAGGCGUCGAACUCCAAGCUCGAUGGCGAUCUUCAGACCGUUAACAAGAGCUUCGUACUCUGCAACAUUGUUGGACACAGCAAAAUGUAUCCUAAUGACGUACCUCAUAUGAACGCCCAGGGGCGAGAUGAACAGCAGGCCGGCCCCAGCUCCCGUCUUCAUGAGAUACCUGUUGAAAUACAUCGUCCAUAGCUCCGACUGAACGUGAGUCGGGGGAAGCUGGUAGUCUGUCCACUCCGCAACGAAAUCCACCAGGGCUUGUGAGUUGAUAGCCUUACGAGGCGCAUAAGUGAGAGUCUCACUCAUGAGCUCGACUGACCAUUUGGCUAUUCUUCCCGUGGCCUCCCUACUUUGGAUUAUCUCGCCCAGGGGGAAGGACGAGACCACCGUGAUAGGGUGGCCGAGGAAGUAGUGCUGCAGCUUGCGUCAGGCGAGGAUUGCGGCGUAGAUCAGCUUCUGGAUUUGGGGGUAACGUGCCUUGGUCUCCGAGAGCUCCUCGCUGAUGAAGUAGACCAGCCUCUGGACUGGCAACGCAAGUCCCUCCUCCUGCCUCUCGACAACCACAGCUGCACUGACGACCUGGGUCAUCGAGGCAAUGUAAAGGAGCAGUGGUUCUAUAGGUUGAGGUGGGACCAGGACUGGUGCUGAAGUUAGUGUUUUCUUCAGGUUUUCGAGGGCUUCCUCGGCCUCGGGGGUCCAAGAGAAACGCUCGACUUUCUUUAGGAGCCGAUACAAUGGCAACGCCUUUUCUCCUAACCUUGAGAUGAAACGACUCAGCGCUGCUAAGCAUCCCGUGACUCUCUGCACACCCUUGAUGUCUCGAAUCGGCCCCAUUCUUGUGAUGGCCGAGACCUUCUUGGGGUUGGCCUCGAUGCCGCGCUGGGAAACGAUGUAUCCAAGGAGCAUGCCUCGAGGUACGCCGAAAACGCACUUCUCGGGGUUGAGUUUGAUCUGGUUAGCGCGUAAGCAGCUGAAAGCGAUCUCGAGGUCCUAGAUCAGGUCUCCCCGCUGCUUUGACUUGACGACGAUGUCGUCGACAUAGGCCUCGACUGUCGACCCUAUGUGCUUGCCAAACACGUGGAGCAUGCAGCGUUGAUACGUGGCUCCCGUGUUUCGAAGCCCGAACGGCAUGGUUAUAUAGCAAUACAUCCCAAAAGGUGUGAUAAAAGACAUCGCGAGCUGGUCGGACUCUUUCAUUUUUAUUUGAUGGUAACCGGAAUAUGCAUCAAGGAAAGAAAGGGUUUAACAUCCCGUAGUAGAAUCAACAAUUUGAUCAAUACAUGGUAAUGGAAAAAGGAACUUUCGGACAUGCUUUAUUUAAACUCGUAUAAUCGACACACAUCCUCAUUUUCCCAUUCUUUUUCUUAACUAGUACAGGGUUUGCUAACCAGUCGGGAUGGUGAACCUCCUUGAUGAAUCCGGCCGCCAAAAUCUUGUGGACCUCCUCGCCAAUGAUCUUGCGCUUCUCCUCGUCGAAUCGGCGCAACUGUUGCUUCACUGGCUUGGAACCGGCUCGAAUUUCCAAGGAGUGCUCGGCGACUUCCCUCGGUAUGCCUGGCAUGUCCGAGGGACUCCAUCCAAACAUAUCGGCAUUCGCAUGGAGAAAGUCGACGAGCACAACUUCUUAUUUGGGUCGAGGUCAGCGCUGAUCGUCAGCACCUUGCCAUCGGAGCUGUUGGGGUCGAGCGGGAUCUUGUUGGUUCCUUCCGCUGGCUCGAAGCUGCUGGCGUGGCGCUUGGGCUCUGGAGCCUCAGCGGCCAGGGCCUCGAGCUUCGAGGCGAGCUCAGUGGAACUCUCGACCGCCUCCCCAUACUCGACGCAUUCAACGUCGCACUGGUAUGCAUGCUCAAAGGAGGUGCUGACGGUGAUGACACCCUUGGGUCCGAGCAUCUUCAGCUUUAAGUAGGUGUAGUUGGGUAUAGCCAUAAAUUUGGCGUAGCCCAGGCGCCCGAUGAUGGCGUGGUACAUGCCCCGGAACCCAACCACCUCAAAGGUGAGGGUCUCCUUUCUGAAGUUGGCCGCCGUGCCAAAGCAGACCGGUAAGUCGAUUCGACCCACCGGCAGCGCCUUCUUCCCUGGCACGACGCCGUGGAAACUGCCGGCGCUUGGUUGGAGCCGCCCCCUGUCGAUGCCGAGGAGGUCGAGGGUCUCGAGGUAGAUGAUGUUGAGGCUGCUGCCGCCAUCCAUCAGCACCUUUGAAAGCCGGGUGUUGACGAUGAUGGGGUCGACGACGAGCGGGUAGAUGCCUGGGGCAACUACCUUGUCUGGGUGGUCCUCUCGAUCGAAGGUGAUGGGGGUGCUCGACCAGCAGAGGUACUGGAGCACCGCCAUUCUUGCCACGAAGACCUCACGGCAUUCCCUCUUGCGCUGCCUUGUGGUCAACUACGUCGAGGAGCCACCAUAGAUCAUGUAGCAGUCGUGGACGGCUGGGAAGCCGUCGUCGUCUUUGUUGUCCUCCUUGUUGCCGCCCUUCUCCUUCUUUGGUUCGUCGCGCGCGUCCUUUUUGAACCCCAGACCGUCGAAAUGCUUUUUCAGCAUACGACAGUCCUUGAGCUUGUGGUUGGCUCCUCCCUUAUGGUACGGGCAUGGCUCCUCUAGCAUCUUAUUGAAGAUGCCUCCAUUUGGAGGGCCUCGAGGCCUCUUGCGUUCCAUGGCGGUGACGAGAUCAUCGUCGAAGUCUUCCCUCUGGAACUGCCACGCUUUCUGCUUCUUCUUGUUCUUCUUGGGCCCUCGACUGGGGGUCCCAUCUUCAUCGGUGGGCUGCUUGCCUUUCCUUCCUUCACAGCUAAAGAAGGCACCGACCGCUUCCUCCCCUGCUGCAUAAUUCGCCACUACGUCCAUCAGCUCAUCGACGGUCUGAGGGCGGUUCCGGCCCAAUUCCCGCACCAAUUCUCGACUGGUGGUACCAGAGACAAAGGCUAGGAUGACAUCGUGGUCGGGGAUAUGCGGUAGCUCGGUGCGCUGCUUCGAGAAGCGUCGAGCAUACUCCCGAAGAGUUUCUCCUAACUUCUGCUUGCACUUGCUGAGGUCCCACGAGUUCCCAGGUCGUAUUUAGGUCCCUUUGAAAUUACCCUCGAAAACCCUAACCAAAUCGACCCAGUCGUGAAUCUGAUCGGCUAGAAGUUCCUCGAGCCACCGACGGGCGGUGUCGGAGAGGAAAAGCGGUAGCUGUCUGAUGAUGGCUCGAUCAUCUCCUCGAGCACCUCCUAGCUGACAGGCCAGCCUGAAAUCGGCCAGCCACAACUCUGGUUUGGUUUCACCGUUGUACUUUGCGAUGCUGGUCGGGGGUCAGAACGGACUGGGCAGGGGCGUGCUGCGGAUUGCCCUGCUGAACACCCGUGGGCCUGGUGGCUCGGGGGCCAUCCGGUCCUCAUCGCUGUCAUACCUCCCACCGUGAUGUGCGCUGUAACCGCGCUCUUCCGCGUCCCCAUGCCGACGGCGUCGAUUCUCUUCAAUGUCGCGUCGUGCGUCGUGUCGACGUUGGUUGUCGACGGGGAGGACGAGCGUGGUCUUUUUUGCUCGGGGGGUGGCUGUUGAUGAACCGACACCUCCUUUUCGUUUUGGGCUGGCUCAUCGUGCUUUUCAGCGGCAGCUCCUCGACGUCGUGAAGCCGAGCUUUUGGCUUGUUGAACUGCCGCCACUUGGAGCAGAGUCUGCACCUCAUCUCGAAUGCGUCGAGCUUGGGAGUUCGAUGGUUCUGGCAUGUUGCGCAACAGCAUUGUCGCUGCCACUACAUUCUGGCCUGCUCGAGGGAAACGGCUGACGGGUUGCUCUGGCUCUGCGUCUCCAACGAUUUGCCGGUGUACCUCUCAGAGCUCGUCUACGGACACUUCCGCCAGGCGAGUAAGGCAAGUCUUGCUCGAGGAUUUGCUCGAGCAGGACGAGGCACUCACGAUCCUCGUCAAGCUUUUUCUUGAGCUCUCGUAACUGCGCAAGUUGCGCGGCCCUGUCUUCCUGUGGAAGUGGGUCGACCUGUCCGUCGUUCCCAGGCGUCCUGAGGUCUUCUCUUGCUGUAGGGGGUCGACCACCGGCAGCAGCAUCUUGUGUCUCGUCGGUAGUUUCUACCGCUCCGUCGACAUGAUAGCAUUCCCUAGAAGGGUCGUAGCUAUCGGUCUCGGAGUCGGAAUCCGGUUCGGCGGCGUAGAAACAUCCACGUCCCUCCUCCAGCAGCCACUUCCUAAGCGAGGUGAUCGUAUAUCGCCCAGGGCCUAGGCGUCGGAUGCCUCGUACCUGGGAGAAACCUGGCAGCUCGGACGUCGGCUGCUGUGCUUCAGAGUCACGUGGGAGGACCACUGGUCUCUCUACGUACGUCUGGGCGUUUGGGCAUAUCGCCCUGGCGAGUGACGCUACGGCAUUGUCCAGGCCAAACGGUAAGGCUCCUCUUGAGGUGAACAGCCCAUGUGGAAGUAGCCUGGCGGUGGGGGAGGGUGCGCGGGACGCGUCACCUCCCGUCAUCGUGUGAUCAUCACGGCGCUGAGCCGUCGCGCCCGUGGCGCAUGGGGCUAUCGGCUCUCGUGCCGCCUCCUACCUCGCACGGACAGCCGGUCGUGGCGAGGCAGAUGGGCGACGGUGGUGCUGUCCACGCCUCUUCUUGGGUGGGGACGCGUGGUGGUGAGUACGUCUUGGGGCCCUCAUCCGGGUCGGCGCAACGCGGGCUCCUCCCGGCCCUUUGAUCGAGAGCAAGAUCAUGUCAUAGCCGGAGCCAGUAGACAUGAACUCGAGACUCCCAAACCAAAUCACCGUGGAGCGUGGAAUCGGUGAAGAAAGAGUGGCCAUCUGGAAAGGAGUGGGAAAUCGAUGAAAAACACGCAGGACCCCUACCUGGCGCGCCAACUGUCGGUGUUUUCCCCACGGGGGGUCACACCAAUGAGUGAAUUUGUAUGCGUGCUUCCCUUUCCCAGAUGGUGAUGCAAAAAGGCACAAGGAUUUAUCCUAGUUCGGGCAAGAGAAGGCCCUACGUCCAGCGGGGGGGAGAGAGUUUGUAUUAUUUUGCACCUAAGUGCUUGUACAGGGGCGAAUACAAGCGUGGUAUGGUGUAUGGGAGUUCUACUGCGUAUGAGCGUGGUGUUACCUUGUUCCUCAUGUCCUGUGUUCACUCUUCGGUCUCCCCUUUUAUAGUUCCAAGGAGAGACCUAGGGUACAUAUAUAGGUGACAGACUAGGGGUUGAUAGAGGCAUGGCGCGCUGACCUACUCGAGGCUUCCGUACCGGCGUGGUCUCGAGCCAUUCCGUCCUGGUAGCUUGAUGAUGAUUACGCGUGCCCUUAUAUCCUGCUCUGUACGCUGUCUUGGACCGGUUUGUCCGUUGCACGCCUGUACGUCACGGCGGCUGAUACGUCAGAGUGGUGGCAGUGCCGUCAGUCGACGCCCAACCCUUCCCUAGGAAGGAAGCAUGUCUGGUCGAGGGUCGGACGCCAGGUAGCGCCUUGCUAUCCAGAGUAUUGACUUUUGGCGUCUCGAGGGGGUCCUGACUAGACGCUCCAUCCCUGCUUCCUGCGUCCUGACACGCUCUGGGUCGUUUGGUGGGGAAGGCUGCAAAAAGAAUGACGAGACGGAUGCCUGUUCCCCAUGACGCUUCCCGUGACUGGCGUGUUAGGUGGGAAUGCGACAGGCGCAUUAAAUGCUCUGGCUCCCGUGCGCGUGUCAGGCGGCGGGCGGCGUCCUGGCGCUCGACGCCCGCCGAUUCGCUCGAGCCUGUUUCCGUAUUCGACGGUAGUUGGUGCUCAAGCCCUGCUUGAUUCGCUCGACGCCCUUUCCGUCUUCGAGGCUGAGGUCGUCGAUGACUAUACGCGUGAUUGUGUAGAGCGUCGAGUUGGGGAUCUCGACUUUCGUUCGGACGAUCUCGUUAUGUACAUCAGUUGGGAUACCCCUUACUGAUAUCCUCGACAGUAGUAUUUGGUAAGGGACGGGGCAGCAAACCUGUUCCCAAAGAUGCUCAAGAACAUGCACCCAUGUGGAAGAAGAAGUCCAUAUUUUGGGAGCUACCCUACUGGCAUGUCCUAGAGGUCCGCCACGCGUGAUGCACCUUACAAAGAAUCUAUGUGUGAAUCUUGUCAGAUUCAUGGGUGUCUAUGGGAAACCUAAGGAUUCACUUGAAGCACGACAGGACUUGGAGGAAAUAAAAGAAUGAGGCAACCUGAAUCAGGAAAAGACAGAUGACGGGCGCCAGUACUUAAGCCCUGCUUGCUAUACUCUGAGCAAAGAAGAGAAGGAACGCAUGUUUGAAUGUCUGAAGAGCUUCAUGGUCCCAUCUGGAUUCUCCUCCAAUAUAAUGAGAGUAAUUAAUGUGCAAGAGAAGAAGUUCCUAAACUUGAAGUCCCAUGACUGCCAUGUGCUUAUGACGCAAUUGCUUUCUAUUGCUCUAAGAGGAAUUGUACCUCCGCAUGUACGUCUAGCCACCAUGAAGUUAUGUGCAAUCCUCAAUGCAAUUUCUCAGAAGACAAUCAAUCGAGAUGAACUUGCUACUCUGUAGAAUGAUGUCGUUCAAUGUCUCGUUAGAUUUGAGUUGAUGUUCCCUCCAUCCUUCUUUGAUAUCAUGACACACCUCCUAGUUCACCUGGUCAAGGAGAUUAUAAAUCUCGGUCCUAUGUUCCUUCACACCAUGUUCCCCUUUGAGAGGUUCAUGGGUGUUCUGAAGAAAUAUGUUCAUAGCCGCUCUCGGCUAGAAAGAAGCAUUACCUAGGGCUAUGGCACAAAGGAGGUUAUAGAGUUCUAUGUUGACUUUAUUCCAGACAUUGACCCAAUUGGCAUUCCUGAAUCACGACAUGAGAGUAGACUCAGUGGCGAGGAGACACUUGGGAAGAAAACAUAUAUCGGUACAGAGAGCAAUUACUUCAAUAAAGCACACUACACAGUUCUACAGAACUCCUCGCUGGUGGAUCCGUAUAUCGAGGUACAUAAGGAUUUCAUUCGAUCCAAGUGGCCUGGGAAGAAUGAAGCUUGGAUUAGGCAUCAUCACAUGGAAACCUUUGGCGAUUGGUUGCGAAAAGAAUGUCAGGUUGAUGAAAACAUAGAUGAGCAGCUUUAUUUGUUGGCCAGACAGCCAUCAUGGCAUAUCAGCAUGUACAAAGGAUACGAGAUCAAUGGGAAUACAUUUUACACAUUAGCCCAAGAUAAAAGGAGCACCAACCAAAAUAGUGGUGUACGAGUAGAUGCCACAGAUCCAAAUGGGAACAAACAAACAUACUAUGGCCAAAUACAUGACAUAUGGGAACUAGACUAUGUAGCAAAUUUUAAAGUUCCUUUGUUCCGAUGUAAAUGGGUGAAGAUGACCGGAGGUGGGGUUGUUAACGGUCGAUAACACAAACUUUUAUUAGAACUUUAGACCCGAAGGAAAACAUGAAAACACACUAGUCCAGGGUUUUAUUUGACAAUUUCCACUAGUUUUGCAUAUUCUAUAUUUUCUAGGGUGAAUUUUAGGAAAGCUGAAAAGAGGGAUUCUAGUGCAGAAUAAACAUGAAACUUAUCCGCUACAAGAAACAUCACAGAAAGACUCAAGAAGGAUGGAGAAGACACACGAAGCAACGGGGGGCCUGUUGGUCGAUAGGUGGGACCAGCCGGCCCCACCAUAGCGCCGGCAGGUGCCCCCUCUAGGGUUUUGACCCCUCUCUUCUGGAAACUUCCUCCACCACCUACGAGGAGUCAUCUCGGCCCUUGGUUAAGGCGGCUUGAUCCUACAGCGCACGCGCAUCCCAACCGGACUAUUAUUCAUUAUUCAUCAAGGCCUCAAGCCAUCAAGCAUCAAGCGCCUUCAAGUUCAUCAAGAGCCUUCUAGUUCAUAGUUCUAGUUAGUCAGAUUAGAGUUAGAGGAUCUAGUUCUUCAUCAGGAUCUAGAGCCCCUAGCAUUGGUCUAGAGCGCAAGAGUUCGGUAAUAGAUCUAGUUCUUACUUUGUAGUAUUCAAUUGUAUAUUAGGGAGACUUUAUUCUUAAUAGAUUCAUAUGUUCUUAAUUGCAAUGGUCAUUGUCUACUUUGAUUAUAUGUCUAGGAUAGUUGGUUUGAUCUUAUUGAAUUCAUGUAAUUGCUCGUAUAGCGUUUACCUAAAAGAUCUUUGGGUAGAUGGUAGACAAUAUGUAGACGUGGUGUCUAGAUAUGGGAUGUGUGGUAGACCGCAUAGGUGACAGCUGUGUUGGAUCCUCUGUAGUCCACCCUCCAUACAUAGGACUAGCAUGGGCACGGUCACGAAGGAGGUGACCCUUGUGUCUUAAUACCCUCAUUAGUUGAUGCCUCUUUACAUGUGAUUACGAUAUAGGGUUAGCUCAACAAUGGUUUCUAGAUGUAAUUGCACUAAAUAGAGUUAUACAGUGAUGUAGUUAUAGAAUUACCUUAGAUCCAACUCCCUAGUUUUUCCAAUGGCUAACUGUGAUUAUGACUAGUAGAUGCUCUGAUGAUUAUCCUUAAUUAUAAUAUUUGAUGAUUAUGCUAUCAUUAUUAUUUACCCAUAUUUAACUUGUGACCUCUGCCUAUUAUGAGUAGAUUAGGCAACCUUGGUAAUAUCAUUUAUUCAUCCUAUAUAGUUUCUUAUCAAUAUAAUAGAAUAUAGUUUAAUACUUAGCCUUCCUAGUGGUAUAAAUAUAAAUCGACAACCUGGAUACUUCCCUAUGUAAAAUGCUACAACGGUAUAAUUAUUUGUAUGCCUGCAGAACUCAUUUAGUUUACAAUCACAUUAUAUUCAUAUCUUUUAUAUCUGCCUAGUCACAUUAGUACAUGUGAAUCUAUAAUAAUUUCCUAGCAAUACAAAUAGGGAUGACAACGUACUUCAUGUUUAGGAAUGUUAGUAAUUAAGAAGUGGCUAGUUGCUAAUUGACAAGUUAAUUAUUUACCGUGCAUUUCUGGCGUUGUUGCUAGAGGUAGGGCUUAUCUCAAUUUUUAUCAAUGAUGGUAGUAAAUGUCCACAAGCAUUUUUGGCGCCGUUACCGGGGAAGGUGUUGGGCAUUCUUAACGUCACUACCAAAAGUAGACCUAGUUUUCUAAUUCUGAGAACGACGCCAAAAAUGUCAAACCUAUCCCUCAUGCCACUUAAGCCAAGUUGUCAUCCGCAGCAUGACAUAAGAGACACGGUAUUGAAAUAUGCAAUUGCACUUCUAAAUAAAUAAUAAAUGAGAUCUGCAAGCGCACAGAUUAAUACCGAUGUAGCAUUUUAACCGGGAAGUAUUCCAGGUAUCGUUAUUUAUAUUUUUACCACUGGGAAGGGAUUGGUAAACAUCAAUGUUGAUUAUAGAAUGAAAUAUAGAAUUGAGUAUCUAUCAUUGCAUGUAUAAUUGAGAACAGUUAUCUAUCUAUGUCAUACAGGGAUAAGUGUCACAUAAAAGAUAGAUAAAGUAUGAAUGGUGACAAAGAUAAUUAAUCUGAUCAGCAUAACUUAGCCACAUAUAAAUAUGAUAAGCACCUCAAUAGAUAUUCUAGCAAGUCAUUAGCAUGGAAUUAGAAUGAACUACAAGAAUAUUUCCUAAGCAUAUCAUAGUUAGUGCAAUUAUACAUGGCAAUUAUUGCGAGACAAGACUACGCCCAUGCAUAGUGAUAUUAUCAAAGAAUAUGAGAAACAUCGCAAUCACUCUCCUGUAAUAAUGUUGCUCUGCCAGACCAAUACAUGAGAGGGGAACUAUAUAAGAAUCAAUGGAGCUGUCACUACCACGAACUACCCCGCGAUCUGGCAUAUCGGGUACAAUCAUAGAUAAAUACGGUAUAGGCACCAUGCCCACACAAUACUUAUCAUUUACCCACUCUACACAUGGAUAGAUGCUAUACGAUCCUAAACAUGUAUAUAAUUCCAAUCUAACUAAGCCAAGCAUAUAACUAUGAUAAACUAAGAACAAUAUAAUUGCGAAUAUAAACAAGUAGAGCAAAGUCAUGAUCAAUAUAUUUAAGUAGAACAAAGUCAUAUUCAUAAUAUUGAAGAACAAAGAUGAACAAUUGAAAAAUAGUAGAGGAAUUACCAAGAUUCCUCUUGACAGAUCUGGAAACCAAUCGAAGAUUGACUCCUUCUAGUUCUAAUCCUAUGUAGCUAAGCUAAACUAGAGAUCUAAUUGAUGUGGUGGCUCUAGGGCUUGAUCAGAGGCUUCUUCUCCCAAGAUGAAUAAUGAAUUAGGUGUCAGAGGUCCUCUCCUCCAGGGGCCAGGGGGUCUGCUUAUAUAGUCCUUCCAAGUGAAUGUGGGCCGUUGGAUCAAACCGACAUUAAUCGCACGAUUUUCCUUGAUCCUUUAGGUCGGUGGAGCAUGAUCCGCGAAGUUGAAGCUGAUUGGCUCUGAGGCCAAGGCGGGCGCCCAAGGGGGGAGGGCGGGCACCGUGCCCCCGAGCUCGUCCGCUCUCUCGUUCAUUCCCGUGACUUCUGGACUCUUCUAGAUGUUGAAUAAUUGCGCGGCACGUUAAUAUCUCUAUGUAAACCCGACGUGUGGGCCUUUCUUCCAUAAUUCCUGAUAACCCCCUGCAGAAAUAGACGAACACCAAAACUCGUCUAAUUCUGUCAGAUAAAACCCUAAGUCUGGAUGUCGAUUGCAUUCGGAUCCUUUUCUUUGUUUAUUUGAUAAUUAAAUUUGAUACUUAAGGACCGUCAACAAACUCCCCUAAGCUUACCUCUUGCUCGUCCCUGAGCAAGGAUAAUCUCAGUGAUGGAUCAGAAGUUGCUGCAAUGCCUUUAAAAGUUGACGGUACACAUGCUUUCAAAUGAGGUCUCAUUUCUGAGUUAAAGUAAACUACCAAGACUUAAAACUUAUUCAUUUUACCUAUUACCAUGGGACUUGUAACCGUCACUUCUGUCUUGAGUAGUUAAAAGAUAGAACGGUCUAGUCAAGUGCCAUGUCUCUUAUUCUUGAUCAGCUAUAGCUCUGGAGUUUUUGUAGAUUUUCAAAUAAAACUCAGAGAUUCCUUGUAUGACUCUCUCAGAUCUCUCUUUUGUGGUAUUUCUGGAUCCUUACCAAGGCAGUGAUGGUAUAUGCCUUCUCUCAAAGUAUGUAGUAUUUGUGGUAUAAGGCAUAGUGACAUUGCCUUCUCUCUCAUCCUACUCUAAUAAGGCUUUUAAUAUCUGGAGCUCAUAGGUGGGAGAUAAAGUAUACAUACUUACAUGACAUUUAUUGUAUAGUCAAACCAUGGAUCCAGACAAACAAGUCAAUAAGUCAAAUCAAGAUGUGCAUGUGUGGCGAAUGAAUGGUGUAUGGUGAUGAUAACAAUGGUGAAAGUCUAAUUCUACUUUUGCUCUUUUGAGGGAAUACAUAUCUUUCUUGCUCUUUGAAACUUUUGAGGAGAAUGAGAUGCUCUAUAUUUUCUUUUACUUUCCUCUCAGGUGGGUAUCUUGUACCCCUAAUUCUACUGUCGGACACUUGUCCAUUUUUACCUCUCGUCUCACUUUUUCUUUUUCUUCAAGGUUCCGGGCACUUGCCCCUUUUUAUUUCCUCGUAUUUUUUUUCUUUUUUAGAGCACUCAUUUCCUGAAAUAAUAUAGCAAGUGGCAGUAACCAAGAUAACUUGAGCAUUUAUUUCACAGGGAAAAACAGAAAUAUUUUUGGCUAUUCUCUCCCGGAUUAGGAGUAGAAUAUUUUUGGGUGGUUCUGGAGAUGGAAAUUGGUGGAUAUAUGUGGAUGUGUACUUCCGGAGUAGAAGCAGCAUGUGUGAGUGAACGUGCAAGUGAAUCUUAAUUUUAACCACAUGACAAGCUCCUAAGGGUCUACACAGCUUGACCACACUCAAUGCUCAUAAGGAGUAAAAAGUAAAUGUGUGGCUCAAAGUCUAGCAAGCAUGUAUAUAUAUGGCUGUGGUAGGAAUUUAAAGUCUCAUCAUGCAGGAACUCAUCAUGUGAUAUUUUUAAAGAUUUUCAAAGAUAAAAUUCUCCGGAAUUUCUGGCAUCUCUAGGAACAGAUAAACAGCAGCUUAACAUUCUCAUAUCAUAUCCGUUAACAACUUAGGCUUUGGAUCAAGUUUUCUUCCCACAAGUUCAAAUUAUGAGCAAGCUUUAAAUAAUAACAGUUAUGUCUAAACUUGAGAGAGAACUUCAAAUUUGAAAAUUAGGCAGAGCAACUAUUCAUCAUAUGUGUUGACGGUCCUUAAGUAUCAAAUUUAAUUAUCAAAUAAAUAAAGAAAAGGAUCCAAAUGAAAUCAACAUCUAGACUUAGGGUUUUAUCUGACAGAAUUCUACGAGUUUUGGUGUUUGCCUAUUUCUGCAGGGGGUUAUCAGGAAAUACGGAAGAAAGACCCACACGUCGGGAUUACAUAGAGAUAUUAACGUGCCGCGCAAUUAUCUUACAUCUAGAAGACUCCAGAAGCCACGGGAAGAAAGCGGAGGCCGAACGGGGCCAGAGGCAGGGCACCCGCCCUCCUUCCCUGGGCGCCCGCCCUGACUUGGAGUCCAAACAGGACUCUGUUUCAUGGGAGAUCUCCACCGACCUAAAGGAUCAAGAAUAACCGUUCAAUCAAUGUCGGUUUGAUCCAACGGCCCAUAUUCACUUGAAGGGACUAUAAAACC
rnacentral:lncRNA from 1 species